UCUAGUCAUCUCCUCCACAAUUCUCUACUGAUCACAGAACUGAUGACAUUAGUGCCCUCCUCAAUGUCAUAGCGAGUGCUGAUGAGUUUAUCUACAUUGCUGUAAUGGACUAUGAACCAGCCAUUGUCUACAGCUACCCUAAAAAGUACUGGCCGGUGAUAGAUGAUGCAUUGCGUACAGCAGCUUAUGAGAAAGGGAUUGAGGUACGUCUGCUGGGCAGUCACUGGGAACACUCUCCUUGUGACAUGAGGAGCUUUCUUGAGAGUCUGGGGUCUUGGAAUGUUACCGGACCCAAGAAUGGAAGCAUAAAAA